rnacentral:rRNA from 1 species
GUACACUCCUGCGGGAGGCAGCAGUGAGGAAUAUUGGACAAUGGGUGGAAGCCUGAUCCAGCCAUCCCGCGUGCAGGAAGACGGCCCUAUGGGUUGUUAACUGCUUUUAUCUGGGGAUAAACCUACUUACGUGUAAGUAGCUGAAGGUACCAGAAGAAUAAGCACCGGCUAACUCCGUGCCAGCAGCCGCGGUAAUACGGAGGGUGCAAGCGUUAUCCGGAUUUAUUGGGUUUAAAGGGUCCGUAGGCGGACUGAUAAGUCAGUGGUGAAAUCCGACAGCUUAACUGUCGAACUGCCAUUGAUACUGUUAGUCUUGAGUAAGGUUGAAGUGGCUGGAAUAAGUAGUGUAGCGGUGAAAUGCAUAGAUAUUACUUAGAACACCAAUUGCGAAGGCAGGUCACUAAGUCUUAACUGACGCUGAUGGACGAAAGCGUGGGGAGCGAACAGGAUUAGAAACCCUGGUAGUCC